UUCCAAAGUGCUGAGUUCAGUCCAGGGCAGCUUCCCUGUCCUGUUAAUUAAACUUUGGGACAUUAAAAUGGGUAGGGGAGAUGACUGGGUAGAAGGUAUUCUAUUCAUUUGCCUCCCAGCCUACAAAA
rnacentral:snoRNA from 1 species